rnacentral:rRNA from 1 species
UACGAAGGGGGCUAGCGUUGCUCGGAAUCACUGGGCGUAAAGCGCACGUAGGCGGAUUGUUAAGUCAGGGGUGAAAUCCUGGAGCUCAACUCCAGAACUGCCUUUGAUACUGGCGAUCUCGAGUCCGGGAGAGGUGAGUGGAACUGCGAGUGUAGAGGUGAAAUUCGUAGAUAUUCGCAAGAACACCAGUGGCGAAGGCGGCUCACUGGCCCGGUACUGUCGCUGAGACGCGAAAGCGUGGGGAGCAAACAGG